rnacentral:rRNA from 1 species
CAAUAGCGUAUAUUAAAGUUGUUGCAGUUAAAAAGCUCGUAGUUGGACUUCUGCGGGUGGCGGCCGGUCGUGCUCGAAACGGGCGUGAACUUGGCGUGCUGCCCGCAUCUUUGGGGAGAUUGUGCGUGGCAUUAAGUUGUCGUGCAUGGGAUUCUCAUCAUUUACUGUGAAAAAAUUAGAGUGUUUAAAGCAGGCCUUUGCCUUGAAUACAUUAGCAUGGAAUAAUAAGAUAGGACCGUUGUCUAUUUUGUUGGUUUACAGAUGUCGGUAAUGAUUAAUAGGGAUAGUUGGGGGUAUUCGUAUUCAGUUGUCAGAGGUGAAAUUCUUGGAUUUUCGGAAGACGCACGACUGCGAAAGCAUUUAUCAAGGAUGUUUUCAUUAA